AAACGACCUGUAAAUAGCUAUAAUGACUCAUUUAAUUCGGUGAGAGUGACUUUUGUGAUAGCACUAACUUAUGUGAUUAUGUAUUGUACAGUUGACAAGAGUCACACUAGCGGAGCCCCCGCCACGCAGGCCAGGAAUGCGAAGGAUGAUAUGGUUGACGAUGAGGAAUGGAAAAAUUUGGGAGUUGGAUUACCUUCUGGAGUCACGAUGCGGGAGAAGAAAAGUGGCGCACUUUCGAGAAUGCAGAAACUCAAGAAAAGACUGUCACAUUCCUUCGGACGACUAA